AUUCCAUGAUGGGGACAUUCUAGGAUGUAGUCUUGAAAGCGCUCCCAUGUUUCUGGAACAGAUUCAUCAUUUUGUUGCUGAAAACUUGUAAUCUUGCCACGGAGAGC
rfam:Sorghum bicolor cultivar BTx623 chromosome 4, whole genome shotgun sequence.